rnacentral:rRNA from 1 species
AUUGAACGCUGGCGGAAUGCUUUACACAUGCAAGUCGAGCGGCAGCGCGGGGGCAACCCUGGCGGCGAGCGGCGAACGGGUGAGUAAUGUAUCGGAACGUACCCAGUCGUGGGGGAUAACUAUCCGAAAGGAUAGCUAAUACCGCAUACGACCUGAGGGUGAAAGCGGGGGACCGUAAGGCCUCGCGCGAUUGGAGCGGCCGAUAUCGGAUUAGCUAGUUGGUGAGGUAAAGGCUCACCAAGGCGACGAUCCGUAGCUGGUCUGAGAGGACGACCAGCCACACUGGAACUGAGACACGGUCCAGACUCCUACGGGAGGCAGCAGUGGGGAAUUUUGGACAAUGGGGGCAACCCUGAUCCAGCCAUUCCGCGUGAGUGAAG